UGCCAGCAGCCGCGGUAACACGGGGGGCGCAAGCGUUAUUCGGAAUCAUUGGGCUUAAAGGGUGCGUAGGCGGCGCGGUAAGUGAGAUGUGAAAUCCCUCGGCUCAACCGAGGAACUGCGUUUCAUACUGCCGUGCUUGAGGGAGACAGGGGUAAGCGGAACUGAUGGUGGAGCGGUGAAAUGCGUUGAUAUCAUCAGGAACACCGGUGGCGAAGGCGGCUUACUGGGUCUCUUCUGACGCUGAGGCACGAAAGCUAGGGUAGCGAACGGGAUUAGAUA
rnacentral:rRNA from 1 species